rnacentral:tRNA from 2 species
UGGAAUGUAGCUCAGCGGAAGAGCGGGCGACUGUUAAUCGCUAUGUCGAAGGUUCGAAUCCUUCCUUUCCAGCCA